UAUCAAUAAUAUUUUCUAGAGCAUAGUAUUGCCUAAGGAUAAAUUCUAUGGAUAUUAUGCCUGAAUUUUAGAUUCACAGGGUGCUUAUUUGAAAAGAUAGCAUCUCCACGAUUUGGGAAGGAAAAUAAGUUGAUUUAAA
rnacentral:ncRNA from 2 species